rfam:Hordeum vulgare subsp. vulgare, WGS project CAJW01000000 data, contig: morex_contig_1568696
CAUAUACUCCAUCCGUCUCAAAAUUCUUGUGUUUGAUUUGUCUAGAUAUAAAUGUAUGUAGUCAUGUAUUAGUAUUUAAUUACAUCCAUUUCUAAACAAAUCGUAAGACAAGAAUUUAAGACGGAGAGAGUACUAG